CUCUCUCUCUCUCUCUCUCUCUCUCUCUCUCUCUCUUCGCCUCCGCUCAAGUAGUUCGCUUUUUGUCUUGGCUGAGGUCCCAGGUAGACAAGCAGAAGAGAAAAUAACUAAUUAAAUUGGCCUGCUUAACUGGAAGAAAAAAUGUGUGAGUCAAAUACAAGCAACCUUUUUUCACCAGCCAACUUGCAGAAAGAAAAAAUCAUCGAGUUACUAUCAAAGUGUAACAUGUCUGAGGCAAAACCCAGCGAAACUCCCAUGCAGCCAGAGUUCCUGAAGAGUAUGUACGAUGAAUCAGAACCCUUCGCUGACAAUAAAUUGUACAGAUCAACUAUAGGGUCACUGCUGUAUAUAGCCAACUAAGGCCCGACAUCGCCUUAGCCAUUAACUUGCUAUCUAAGCACGUAAGCAAACCUACCAUAUCCCAUUGAAACGCCAUCAAAAGAUUGCUUAGAUACCUAAAAUUCAGCAUGGAUGCCCAGCUCUGCCUCGAACCAGAUAUAUCCAGGAAACCAAAACUAACCUGCUACGCUGAUGCUGAUUGGGCUGGGGACAUAAAAAGCAGGAAAAGUACCUCCGGCUAUGUGCUGCUGCUCAACAAUUGCCCCAUUCAUUGGUACACAGGGAAGCAAAAACUAGUAGCUACCUCAACCACAGAAGCAGAAUUUGUUUGCCUAUCCAGGGCCGCAAACAACCUGGUAUGGUUCGACGACCUGCUCAGCAGUAUUUGGACUGAGCCCUCAUACCCAAUAGUCAUUCAUGAAGAUAACAAAGAUAGAAAUCUCAAGAGCCGAUGCCGUAGGUCAGCGAUCUAGGCACAUUGACAUCAAGUGCAAACAUGUCAGGCAGUUCUCAGAAAUAGGUUUCAUUAAGGCUGUACACUGCAAUACUGAGGAACAAACCGCAGACAUACUCACAAAGCCCCUACCACACAAACAGCAUGCAUACCUCAUGUCGAAGAUAUGUGUUUAUAUGUAACCUAUGCAUAUACAUGUAUGUAACUUGUAUGUAUGUAUGUAACCUUUGUAUACCUGUACCUAGUUAGACAUUUAGAGGGGGUUUUGUCAUGGUAAAUGUCUAACUGUAUUGCCACCCUGGGCACCUGGCUCUGCAGGGGUUAACUAGUCACAUAUCCCAUCACUCCCAUAGCCACUCCUUACCUCCUGGCCCCUCCUCCUGGGUAUAAAAGCUCUCACCAUGAGGUACUCCAGUAGUUCCAGAUGUAUACCUGAAAGAGAAAGGUUUAAGGUCAGUGACCUCUGGUGCCACAGGGCCUAGGAUUAACCAAAGCCUACAAUAAAGGAAUCCAAUUGAGAAAAAGAAUUUGUCUGUCAGUUAUUGGGCUAGAUCCAUCAUAGAACAUAUAUUAAUGGUGUUUUUUGUUUUUUAAAUUUGAUAUAUAUGCCGUCCUUCUCCGGAGACUCAGGGCGGCUUACAAUGCGUUAAGCAAUAGCCUUCAUACUUUUGUAUAUUUAUACAAAGUCAGCUUAUUGCCCCCACAAACUGGAUCCUCAACUUACCUACCUUAGAAAGGAUGGAAGGCUGAGUCAACCUUGACUUGUGUUAAAUUAAAUAGAGACUGAGAUAAUGAGAACUUUUGUCUCAUACCCUUUUUCUAUUCUGAAUCAUUCUAUUCCUCAGAUUUAGUUCUUACAAUAGAUCCUUGUUCACUGUAAUAAUUUGUCAGAAGAAUGAUUGGAUGUUCUGGUUUAUGUGUUAACUUUAAUAUGUUCUAGUUUCUGCCAUGACCUAUACAGUCAAAGCGUUUGUUGUCAACAAUGACUAAAAAUAAACCAUAUUGUAUUUUCUCCAUUAUCCUUCUCCUACUAGAUACAGAGCUUUUCUACCUUUCCAGACUCAAUUGUGUAUUUGUAAUUUCUCCCUCCCCGUGUGGCUCUAUUUUUAUUUGCAAGCUCUUAAUGAAAACAUUGCCUGUAUAAGGAAAAAAUGGUGUUGGCUCAUUCUACAUUCUGUUCCUGCAGCAGCCAGUUAGAUGAGUGUUGAAGCUUUGGGUUUUUUGUGUUACCUGUGCCUAGUUAAAGUUAUGAUAGCUUGGUUAUUAUUACAAUCAAUGAUCCACAUAAAAACAUAAUGGUAAAUGACACAAUGUACCAGCUGCAGUGCUGGAAAUUUCAUGCUAAUUCAGAAUUAAAAAGAAGGCAUUUAUGCAAUAAAGGUCUGUUGCCCCUGGAUACUGUCCCAGAAGAGGCAAGAAGAGAGAAUUCCAUAUGUCCUUUUGGAAAUGACAGUACAGCAUUAUCUGGACAUAGUUUUAAUCUCUUCCAACAGCAAACUCUGGCUAAUAGUCUUAUGCCAUGCCCCAAAGAAAUUCUUCCUCACUUUCUGCCAAGUAAAGAAUGGCACUUUUUUUACAGCAAAACACACCAGCUCAUUCCUUUAAACCUUUGGCUCUGAUUACGGAAACCCUCUGGUGCCCUGAAGAUUUGUAUCAGGAAAUAACUAUUUUAGUUCUGGGUUUGGCCUUGCUGGGCUGACAUAAUGCUAUUAGGAUGCUGCCAGGGGCAGUGUCUUCAACGGAAGAGAAUGGGGCUGACUAUAACUGAGAUAAGAUGCUUUGUUUUUCAGGAAACUGCUCUGUAUAUAUUGCUGCCGGUGAAAUAUUGUGUUGCUCAUUGUGAUUGUUAUUAUUUUGGGAGGAAUGUAAACAAAGACAGGUUCCAAAGAACUGACGUUGUAGUUUCUAUGUACACAAUACCUGUAGUGUCAUAUUUAUGAAAGAGUUGCUUUAAAAUUUGGAGGAGAUGCCUCCAGACCACAUGAUAAUAAGGAAAGUUUAUGAAUGUGCAGAAAUGGAUAGACUGUCUAUGGACAUGAAGGAGAGGGAAGAAACUGAGUACUAUCAAAUUUGGAAUAGAUGGUUAAGAUAUAAAUUGUAAAAAAUAUAAUAUAUAGAAUGUAAAAUUUAUAAGAAAUAUUGAUUUGUGAGUAGAUAAUAUUAUAAUUUGAAUAAGGAUAUAACAUAGGAUAGUGAUGUAUAUAAAUAGAAUUUUUGUAAAUAGGAUUGUUACGAAAGAUAUUGACACUGAUAUGGAAAAGCUGUUAUAAAUGUAAAUAUGUGUUUUGUGUUUUAAA